rnacentral:rRNA from 1 species
ACGAACGCUGGCGGCGCGCUUAAUACAUGCAAGUCGAACGAGAAGCCAGAGCUUGCUCUGGUGGAAAGUGGCGAACGGGUGAGUAACACGUGAGAAACCUGCCCCAAAGAUUGGGAUAAGCCUUGGAAACGAGGUCUAAUACCAAAUACCUUCUUUUAACACAUGUUAAAAGAAGAAAUGCUCCGGCGCUUUGGGAUGGUCUCGCGAUCUAUCAGCUUGUUGGUGAGGUAACGGCUCACCAAGGCAUCGACGGAUAGCUGGUCUGAGAGGAUGUCCAGCCACAUUGGAACUGAGACACGGUCCAAACUCCUACGGGAGGCAGCAGUAGGGAAUCUUGCACAAUGAGGGAAACCUUGAUGCAGCGACGCCGCGUGCGGGACGAAGGCCCUAGGGUUGUAAACCGCUUUCAGUAGGGACGAAAGUGACGGUACCUACAGAAGAAGCCCCGGCCAACUAUGUG